GAUGAACGCUGGCGGCGUGCCUAAUACAUGCAAGUCGAACGAACAGAUGAGGAGCUUGCUCCUCUGACGUUAGCGGCAGACGGGUGAGUAACACGUGGAUAACCUACCUAUAAGACUGGGAUAACUUCGGGAAACCGGAGCUAAUACCGUAUAAUAUCUUGAACCGCAUGGUUCAAUAGUAAAAGACGGCUUUUCUGUCACUUAUAGAGGGAUACGAGCCUGAUUAGGUAGUUGUGAAUGUAACAGGUUACCAAGGCUACUAUGCGUGUACGACCUCAGAGGGUGAUCGCCCACACUGGAACUUAAACACCCUCCAUACUCCUACGGGACGCACCAGUAUCCAACCUUCCGCAAUAGUCGAAAACCUUACAUAACAACCCCACGUCAGUGAUGAAAAUCUUCCGAUCGUAAAGCUCUCUUAUUGGUUAAAAACAAAUUUCUAAGUAACUAUACACUUCUUGACGGUACCUAAUCAGAAAGCCACGGCUAACUACGUG
rnacentral:rRNA from 1 species